rnacentral:rRNA from 1 species
ACGGGAGGCAGCAGUGGGGAAUAUUGGACAAUGGGGGCAACCCUGAUCCAGCGACGCCGCGUGAGUGAAGAAGUAUUUCGGUAUGUAAAGCUCUUUAAGCAGGGAAGACAAUGACGGUACCUGCAGAAUAAGCCCCGGCUAACUACGUGCCAGCAGCCGCGGUAAUACGUAGGGGGCAGGCGUUAUCCGGAUUUACUGGGUGUAAAGGGAGCGUAGACGGCAAUACAAGUCUGAAGUGAAAGCCCGCGGCUCAACUGCGGAACUGCUUUGGAAACUGUAUGGCUAGAGUGUCGGAGAGGUGAGUGGAAUUCCCAGUGUAGCGGUGAAAUGCGUAGAUAUUGGGAAGAGCACCGGAGACGAGGGCGGCUCACUGGACGAUAACUGACGUUGAGGCUCGAAAGCGUGGGGGGCAAACAGGAUUAGAUACCCUGGUA